GACGAACGCUGGCGGCGUGCCUAAUACAUGCAAGUAGAGCGAACAGACGAGGAGUUUGUUCUUUUGACGAUAGCGGCGGACGGGAGAGUCACAUGUGGAUCCUCCCCCUAUAAGACUGGGAAAACUUCGGGACAAUGGCGAUAACACCGGAUAAUAUAUUGAACCGUAUGGUUCAAUAGUGAAAUACGGUUUUGUUGUCACUAAUAGAUGGUUCCGGGCAGUAUUAGCUAGUUGGUAGGGUAACGGCUUACCAAGGCAAUGAAGCGUAGCCGACCUGAGAGGGGGUUCGGCCACACUGGAACGGAGACACGGUCCAGACUCCUACGGGAGGCGGCAGUGGGGAAUCUUCGGCAUUGAGCGAAAGCCGGACGGAGCAACGCCGCGUGGGUGAUGAAGGUCUUCGGAUCGUAAAACUCGGUGAUUGGGGAGAAACAGAGUUGUAAUUAACAGUGCACGUCUUGACGGUACCUAAUCAGAAAGACACGGCUAACUACGUG
rnacentral:rRNA from 1 species